GACGAACGCUGGCGGCGUGCCUAAUACAUGCAAGUCGAGCGGAACUUAGAAAGCUUGCUUUCUAAGUUUAGCGGCGGACGGGUGAGUAACACGUGGGCAACCUGCCUAUAAGACUGGGAUAACUUCGGGAAACCGGAGCUAAUACCGGAUAAUAUAAAAGAUCACAUGGUCUUUUAUUGAAAGAUGGCUUCGGCUAUCACUUAUAGAUGGGCCCGCGGCGCAUUAGCUAGUUGGUGAGGUAAUGGCUCACCAAGGCGACGAUGCGUAGCCGACCUGAGAGGGUGAUCGGCCACACUGGGACUGAGACACGGCCCAGACUCCUACGGGAGGCAGCAGUAGGGAAUCUUCCGCAAUGGACGAAAGUCUGACGGAGCAACGCCGCGUGAGCGAUGAAGGCCUUCGGGUCGUAAAGCUCUGUUGUUAGGGAAGAACAAGUAUCGUUCGAAUAGGGCGGUACCUUGACGGUACCUACCAGAAAGCCACGGCUAACUACGUG
rnacentral:rRNA from 1 species